AUACUACUUUUUAACAGCAUAGAUACCAACUCUAGAACAAUACAGAAUAACAUGGCCCCUGGACAAGGAUGGCACAAAGAGUUGUGAAGCAUUCUGUAUUUGU